ensembl:lncRNA
GUGAGGUUGUAAGAUUGGCUGAAGUUGACAGGUGACUGCCGUCGGUCUCAGCUCUGGCACAGGAAGGAGGGAGGGUGAGGUUGUAAGAUUGGCUGAAGUUGACAGGAGACUGCCCUCGGUCUCAGCUCUGGCACAGGAAAGAGGAGGGAGGGAGAGGUUGUAAGAUUGGCUGAAGUUGACAGGUGACUGCCCUCGGUCUCAGCUCUGGCACAGGAAGGAGGGAGGGAGAGGUUGUAAGAUUGGCUGAAGUUGACAGGAGACUGCCCUCGGUCUCAGCUCUGGCACAGGAAGGAGGGAGGGAGAGGUUGUAAGAUUGGCUGAAGUUGACAGGUGACUGCCCUCGGUCUCAGCUCUGGCACAGGAAGGAGGGAGGGUGAGGUUGUAAGAUUGGCUGAAGUUGACAGGAGACUGCCCUCGGUCUCAGCUCUGGCACAGGAAAGAGGGAGUAGAGGGAGGGACAAUGUUGGAAGGGUCACCAAGUACAUACACAGAGGACGCCAAACCCCCCUCUCCCGGACACACACACACACACUACAAACCCCACAACAAAGGCUACCUUAUCUUCAUCCUCCUCUUCAUCCUCCUCUACAUCCAGUACUUCAGAGCUCGUUGACCC